rnacentral:rRNA from 1 species
GACCUGCGGAGGGNCAUUACAAGAACGCCCGGGCUUCGGCCUGGUUAUUCAUAACCCUUUGUUGUCCGACUCUGUUGCCUCCGGGGCGACCCUGCCUUCGGGCGGGGGCUCCGGGUGGACACUUCAAACUCUUGCGUAACUUUGCAGUCUGAGUAAACUUAAUUAAUAAAUUAAAACUUUUAACAACGGAUCUCUUGGUUCUGGCAUCGAUGAAGAACGCAGCGAAAUGCGAUAAGUAAUGUGAAUUGCAGAAUUCAGUGAAUCAUCGAAUCUUUGAACGCACAUUGCGCCCCCUGGUAUUCCGGGGGGCAUGCCUGUUCGAGCGUCAUUUCACCACUCAAGCCUCGCUUGGUAUUGGGCAACGCGGUCCGCCGCGUGCCUCAAAUCGUCCGGCUGGGUCUUCUGUCCCCUAAGCGUUGUGGAAACUAUUCGCUAAAGGGUGUUCGGGAGGCUACGCCGUAAAACAACCCCAUUUCUAAGGUUGACCUCGGAUCAGGUAGGGAUACCCGCUGAACUUAAGCAUAUCAAUAAGCGGAGGAAAAGAAACCAACAGGGAUUGCUCUAGUAACGGCGAGUGAAGCAGCAAUAGCUCAAAUUUGAAAUCUGGCGUCUUCGACGUCCGAGUUGUAAUUUGUAGAGGAUGCUUCUGAGUGGCCACCGACCUAAGUUCCUUGGAACAGGACGUCAUAGAGGGUGAGAAUCCCGUAUGCGGUCGGAAAGGCGCUCUAUACGUAGCUCCUUCGACGAGUCGAGUUGUUUGGGAAUGCAGCUCU